GUUUCACCGUGUUAGCCAGGAUGGUCUCGAUCUCCUGACCUCGUGAUCCGCCCUCCUUGGCCUCCCAACGUGCUGGGAUUACAGGCGUGAGCCACCGCACCCGGCAGUGUGUGUGUAUUUUUAAUAGAGAUGGGUUUCACCAUGUUGGCCAGGCUGGUCUGGAACUCCUGGCUUCAAGUGAUUCACCUGCCUCGGCCUCCCAACGUGCUGGGAUUACAGGCCUGAGCCACCGCGCCCACCGCGCCCGGCCAAACAUUUAAAUUCUUGUUGAUGUAUCCAUUGUAACCACCAUAUCCGUGCCUCUCACAGGACGGGGUGGUUCUGCUCCAAAGGAACACAUGUUGAUGUCUGGAGACAUCUUUUAGUUGUCACCACAAGGGGUGGAGGUGUUGCUCUUGGUGUCUGAAGAAUGGAGGCCAGAGAUGCUGCUCAACACCGUGUGGUGCCCAGGAUGGCCUCACCCCAGAGGAUUAUCAGCGCCAAAUGUCAGCAGUGCUGAUGUUGUGAAGCCCUAUGGGUGAAGAAACGGAAUAUACCAUUUCCAGACAAGCCGAAACAAAAUAAAAAGGGGAAAUAAAACUCAUAGAUAAAACAAAAUAUAACCUUCAACUUUUAAAAUAGUAAAAUAGUUUUUAAAAUUAUUUGUAGAGGGCUGGGUGCAGUGGCUCACGCCUGUAAUCCCAGCAGUUUGAGAAGUGGAGGUGGGCAGAUCUCUUGAGCCCAGGAGUUCAUCAGCUCGGGUGACAUAGCAAGACCCCGUCUCUACAAAAUAUAAAAAAUUAGCCAGGCAUAGUGGCCCACGCCUGUAGUCGCAGCUACUCGGGAGGCUGAGGUGGGAGAAUCACUUGACCCUGGGAGGUUGAGGCUGCGGUGAGAUGUGAUUGUGCCACUGUACCCUAGCCUGGGUGACAGAAUGAGAACCCUGUCCCACCAAAAAAAAAAAUUAUUUAUAGAGACAAACUCCAGGUCUCAAGUGAUCCUCCUGCCUCAGCUUUCCAAAGAACUGGGAUUACAGGUGUGAGCCACCAUGCCUGGCCAUAAAUUAACUGGUUUUUGUUGUUGUUGUUGUUGUUUUGCGACAGGGUCUGGUUCUAUCACCCAUGCUGGGAUGCAGUGGUGCCAUCUCGACUCACUGCAACCUCCACCUCCCAGACUCAAGCCAUCCUCCCACCUCAGCCUCCUGAGUAGUGGGGAUUACAGGCACGUGCCACCAUGCCCGGUAUUUUUUGUAGAGACAAGGUUUCACCAUGCUGCACAGGCUGGUCUUGAACUCGUGAGCUCAAGUGAUCCAGCUGCCUCGGCCUCCCAAAGUGCUGAGAUUAAAGGCAUGAGCCACCGCACCCGGCUGAGAUACCAUUUUUUACUUGUCAGAUUAUGGAAGAUCAAAUAUGGAGAUGGGGGGUCUUACUGUGUUGCCUAGGCUGGUCUCAAACUCCUGGGCUCAAGCAAGCCACCUGCCUCAGUCUCCAAAGUGCUGGGAUUACAGGCAUGAGCCACCACACCCACCCUGGUAAAUGUCAUCCUGGGGAUCCUCUAGGAGAAAACCGCACAGCUGCUGAACAAUGUGCACAACGGAGACCAACUCAAAAGAAAUCCUGUUGCACGUGAGCAGAUUGGAGAGCAGUGGGGGGUCAGCGCAGUGGAACUUAUUCCUACUCCCACCCCAACAAGAGCACCAGGCCUGUGCUGGCCCAGCCGCCCCUCCUCUCUGGGCACGCAGAGGCUCCCACUUCUGGCCUGGCAGUGGGUGGGUCCUCCAAGUUGCUCUGGCCAAUGGGCUGCAGGUGAAGUGAGCCAGGAUUGCCACUGGAGACCCUCUGGUGGCUGCCCCUGCAGAUGGUGACUGACGUUCAGGCCUGAAGCCUCAGCCAGCCCCAGAGUGCAGGGCUCUUGGGAAGGAAGGCCAUGUUCAAGCCCAUGAGACUUUGGGCUGUGCUGGCUGCACAGAGACGGCCCCUCCUGCCUUUGUGGGUGGCCACAUAUAUCCUGAAAGGGAUGAGUGUAUGCACAGAAUCUCUGUGGGAGGAGACAAGAGAAAAUGGUCACAGGAGGCCCCCUGCAGAGGGAACUGUUCACCUACUUUUCACUGUAAACCCUUGUGGACAGCUGGUGUUUUCUGGAAAAUUGUGG
rnacentral:lncRNA from 1 species